CAGUCGCCGCGGUAAUACGUAGGUGGCAAGCGUUGUCCGGAAUUAUUGGGCGUAAAGGGCUCGCAGGCGGUUUCUUAAGUCUGAUGUGAAAGCCCCCGGCUCAACCGGGGAGGGUCAUUGGAAACUGGGAAACUUGAGUGCAGAAGAGGAGAGUGGAAUUCCACGUGUAGCGGUGAAAUGCGUAGAGAUGUGGAGGAACACCAGUGGCGAAGGCGACUCUCUGGUCUGUAACUGACGCUGAGGAGCGAAAGCGUGGGGAUCGAACAGGAUUAGAGACCCCUGUAGUCCCUGUCUCUUAUAC
rnacentral:rRNA from 1 species